CGAGUCGGACAGAUACACGUGUAGCUUGCUCCUUUGACGUUAGCGGCGGACGGGUGAGUAACACGUGGAUAACCUACCUAUAAGACUGGGAUAACUUCGGGAAACCGGAGCUAAUACCGGAUAAGAUUUUGAACCGCAUGGUUCAAUAGUGAAAGACGGCCUUGCUGUCACUUAUAGAUGGAUCCGCGCCGUAUUAGCUAGUUGGUAAGGUAACGGCUUACCAAGGCAACGAUACGUAGCCGACCUGAGAGGGUGAUCGGCCACACUGGAACUGAGACACGGUCCAGACUCCUACGGGAGGCAGCAGUAGGGAAUCUUCCGCAAUGGGCGAAAGCCUGACGGAGCAACGCCGCGUGAGUGAUGAAGGUCUUCGGAUCGUAAAACUCUGUUAUCAGGGAAGAACAAACGUGUAAGUAACUGUGCACGUCUUGACGGUACCUGAUCAGAAAGCCACGGCUAACUACGUGCCAGCAGCCGCGGUAAUACGUAGGUGGCAAGCGUUAUCCGGAAUUAUUGGGCGUAAAGCGCGCGUAGGCGGUUUUUUAAGUCUGAUGUGAAAGCCCACGGCUCAACCGUGGAGGGUCAUUGGAAACUGGAAAACUUGAGUGCAGAAGAGGAAAGUGGAAUUCCAUGUGUAGCGGUGAAAUGCGCAGAGAUAUGGAGGAACACCAGUGGCGAAGGCGACUUUCUGGUCUGUAACUGACGCUGAUGUGCGAAAGCGUGGGGAUCAAACAGGAUUAGAUACCCUGGUAGUCCACGCCGUAAACGAUGAGUGCUAAGUGUUAGGGGGUUUCCGCCCCUUAGUGCUGCAGCUAACGCAUUAAGCACUCCGCCUGGGGAGUACGACCGCAAGGUUGAAACUCAAAGGAAUUGACGGGGACCCGCACAAGCGUGGAGCAUGUGGGUUUAAUUCGAAGCAACGCGAAGAACCUACCAAUCUUGACAUCCUUUGACCGCUCUAGAGAUAGAGUUUUCCCUGGACAAAGGUGACAGGUGGUGCAUGGU
rnacentral:rRNA from 1 species